UGGAAAGAGGAUGCACCUGAGCUUUCGAGUCUCAUAGCAAGCUUUGGGUUUCUAGGGAAGCCUGAGCCAGUUCAGCUGCACCACCCUCAUGCACAAGGGUGCCAACAACGAGGAGGAGGAAGAUGAUGAUGACGAUGAAGACCCCGGCGUCCGUGGCGUCCAUGUUAGAAGCAGUAAGAACACCUUCAACGCAGCAGCCUCAGCCGUGCCAAUACAGCCGCCUCACGGGCCACCACAGAGGGAGUGUGUGACGGAGAAGUCCGUCACUGGCCGCGGGCAGCGUUUGGUACACUAACACACACACAUUCACCGCGCCUCCCUGCUCCGUUAUUAGCUCCGUUAACAAUGUGGGUCGACACACAAGUUAACUUCUCUAUCUUAGUACAUACAUUUCCCCCUUUAUUCUUACCUCCCGUCAGUAACAGUUCCUGGUAUAAAGAAUACACAGACAAGCGUUCAUGUUUAAUUUAAGCAACGUUUAUUGUACUUAUCAAUGUUAUGGACGUGCGCCUUGUUUGUUUGGUUCUGUUCCUCUCUCUCUCCAUCUCUGUAGCUUCCGGGUAUGCUGGGAUAAGGACCAGAGCUACRGUAAUCGGGCUGGCUUUGUAGUGCCUGUCUCGAAUGGCUCGUUCAUGUGAAUGAGCUUAUUGGAAGACUCCAUGUCAGUAGGGAUGGGAUUUUGUAAAUGUUAUAUUGGUAUAUUGUACCAUGAGAAACGUGUUGCAAAGUAUAUAAUUCAUGAUGUUUAGCUGAGUGGAAAAUGUAGGCUUUGAUGAAGGUAAUUGCUUAAUUAAUUAGUGCUGGGUAUGCUCUGAUGGGAGGGGCUUCCCCUACAAAAGGAGCCUCUCUUUCAGUUCAAGGGGGGAAACAUUUUGGAUUGAGCUGUUGAUGGGGCAGCAUUGUGUAUUAUUUUUUAAUUUUUUUUAAGCUGUCCCAUAAUGGGUACUUUAGAUGGCAGAACUGUUGUUUUUCUUCCAUAUUCACUAUGUAAAUAAACACCCGUGCACAGAA